CCUACGGGUGGCAGCAGUGGGGAAUAUUGCACAAUGGGCGAAAGCCUGAUGCAGCAACGCCGCGUGAGCGAUGAAGGCCUUCGGGUCUUAAAGCUCUUUCCUCAAGGAAGAUAAUUACGGUUCUUGAGGAUGAAGCCGCGGCUAACUACGUCCCAGCAGCCGCGGUAAUACGUAGGGGGCUAGCGUUAUCCGGAAUUACUGGGCGUAAAGGGUGCGUAGGUGGUUUCUUAAGUCAGAGGUGAAAGGCUAGGGCUCAACCGUAGUAAGCCGUUGAAACUGGGGAACUUGAGUGCAGGAGAGGAAAGUGGAAUUCGUAGUGUAGCGGUGAAAUGCGUAGAUAUUGGGAGGAACACCAGUUGCGAAGGCGGCUCUCUGGAGUGUAACUGACACUGAGGCACGAAAGCGUGGGGAGCGAACAGGAUUAGAUACCCUUGUAGUC
rnacentral:rRNA from 1 species